rnacentral:rRNA from 1 species
GACGAACGCUGGCGGCGUGCUUAACACAUGCAAGUCGAACGAAGUGGCGAAAGGGUGAGUAACGCGUAAUCAAACUGCCCUUCAGAGGGGGACAACAGUUGGAAACGACUGCUAAUACCGAAUACUGAAGGAGGGGAUUGCGUCGGAUUAGCUAGUUGGAGGGGUAACGGCCCACCAAGGCGAUGAUCAGUAGCCGGGUUGAGAGAGUGAACGUCCACAUUGUGACGGAGACACGGCCCAGACUCCUACUGGAGGCAGCAGUGGGGAAUCUUCCGCAAUGGACGAAAGUCUGACGGAGCACCGCCGCGUGAGUGAUGACGGCCUUCGGGUUGUAAAGCUCUGUUAAUCGGGACGCGGUACCGGAAUAGUAAGCCACGGCUAACUACGUGCCAGCAGCCGCGGUAAUAC